rnacentral:rRNA from 1 species
CAGCAGCCGCGGGAAUACGAAGGGGGCUAGCGUUGCUCGGAAUUACUGGGCGUAAAGGGCGCGUAGGCGGACAGUUCAGUCGGGGGUGAAAGCCCGGGGCUCAACCUCGGAAUUGCCUUCGAUACUGGCUGUCUUGAGUAUGAGAGAGGUGUGUGGAACUCCGAGUGUAGAGGUGAAAUUCGUAGAUAUUCGGAAGAACACCAGUGGCGAAGGCGACACACUGGCUCAUUACUGACGCUGAGGCGCGAAAGCGUGGGGAGCAAACAGGAUUAGAUACCCUGUAGUCCCUGUCUCUUAUACA